rnacentral:rRNA from 1 species
CAGGCCUAACACAUGCAAGUCGAGCGCGUAGCAAUACGAGCGGCAGACGGGUGAGUAACACGUGGGAAUCUACCUUUUGCUACGGAACAACUCCGGGAAACUGGAGCUAAUACCGUAUGUGCCCUUUGGGGGAAAGAUUUAUCGGCAAGAGAUGAGCCCGCGUCGGAUUAGCUAGUUGGUGGGGUAAAGGCCUACCAAGGCGACGAUCCGUAGCUGGUCUGAGAGGAUGAUCAGCCACACUGGGACUGAGACACGGCCCAGACUCCUACGGGAGGCAGCAGUGGGGAAUAUUGGACAAUGGGCGCAAGCCUGAUCCAGCCAUGCCGCGUGAGUGAUGAAGGCCCUAGGGUUGUAAAGCUCUUUCACCGGUGAAGAUAAUGACGGUAACAGGAGAAGAAGCCCCGGCUAACUUCGUGCCAGCAGCCGCGGUAAU